GAUGAACGCUAGCGGGAGGCUUAACACAUGCAAGUCGAGGGGCAGCAUAGGGUAGCAAUACUCUGAUGGCGACCGGCAAACGGGUGAGUAACGCGUAUGUAACCUACCCUGUACAGGGGGAUAACCCGGAGAAAUUCGGACUAAUAUCCCAUAACAAUAUCCGGGGGCAUCUUUGGAUAUUUAAAGUUCCGGCGGUACGGGAUGGGCAUGCGUAACAUUAGCUAGUUGGUAAGGUAACGGCUUACCAAGGCUUUGAUGUUUAGGGGUCCUGAGAGGGUGGUCCCCCACACUGGUACUGAGACACGGACCAGACUCCUACGGGAGGCAGCAGUGAGGAAUAUUGGUCAAUGGGCGCAAGCCUGAACCAGCCAUCCCGCGUGCAGGAAGACGGCGCUAUGCGUUGUAAACUGCUUUUCCAGGGAGAGAAACUUGCGCACGUGUUGCGCAAUUGACGGUACCCUGGGAAUAAGCAUCGGCUAACUCCGUGCCAGCCGCCGCUGUAAGAC
rnacentral:rRNA from 1 species